rnacentral:rRNA from 1 species
GACUCUGUGCAAUGAAUGACUUGGCUCAUGUGUCUACUAAGAAUGCAGCUAGCUGUAGGAGUUAUUGUGAUUUAAAGGACACACGGAUCACUGCCAAUUUGAAUGCACUUGUGGCCCCAUGUUCAAUGCAGGGCUAUGCCUGCUUUAGUGUUA